rnacentral:rRNA from 1 species
AGAGUUUGUAGUCCUGGCUCAGGAUGAACGCUGGCGGCGUGCUAACACAUGCAAGUCGAACGGAGCUAUUUAGGAAACUUCCUUCGGGGAGCGGAAUCUUUAGCUUAGUGGCGGACGGGUGAGUAACGCGUGAGCAAUCUGCCUUUGGAUGGGGGAUAACAGCCGGAAACGGCUGCUAAUACCGCAUAAUGCAACGGGAUCGCAUGGUCCUGCUGCCAAAGAUUUAUUGUCCAAAGAUGAGCUCGCGUCUGAUUAGCCAGUUGGCGGGGUAACGGCCCACCAAAGCGACGAUCAGUAGCCGGACUGAGAGGUUGAACGGCCACAUUGGGACUGAGACACGGCCCAGACUCCUACGGGAGGCAGCAGUGGGGAAUAUUGCGCAAUGGGGGGGAACCCUGACGCAGCAACGCCGCGUGAUUGAAGAAGGCCUUCGGGUUGUAAAGAUCUUUAAUCGGGGACGAAACAUGACGGUACCCGAGGAAUAAGCUCCGGCUAACUACGUG